ACCUGCGGAAGGAUCAUUACCGAGUUUUCGGGCUUCGGCUCGACUCUCCCACCCUUUGUGAACGUACCUCUGUUGCUUUGGCGGCUCCGGCCGCCAAAGGACCUCCAAACUCCAGUCAGUAAACGCAGACGUCUGAUAAACAAGUUAAUAAACUAAAACUUUCAACAACGGAUCUCUUGGUUCUGGCAUCGAUGAAGAACGCAGCGAAAUGCGAUAAGUAAUGUGAAUUGCAGAAUUCAGUGAAUCAUCGAAUCUUUGAACGCACAUUGCGCCCCUUGGUAUUCCGGGGGGCAUGCCUGUUCGAGCGUCAUUACAACCCUCAAGCUCUGCUUGGAAUUGGGCACCGUCCUCACUGCGGACGCGCCUCAAAGACCUCGGCGGUGGCUGUUCAGCCCUCAAGCGUAGUAGAAUACACCUCGCUUUGGAGUGGUUGGCGUCGCCCGCCGGACGAACCUUCUGAACUUUUCUCAAGGUUGACCUCGGAUCAGGUAGGGAUACCCGCUGAACUUAAGCAUAUCAAUAAGCGGAGGAA
rnacentral:rRNA from 1 species